GACGAACGCUGGCGGCGUGCUUAACACAUGCAAGUCGAACGGUGAAGCGCCUUCCUUUUUGGUGGGUGUGGAUGAGUGGCGAACGGGUGAGUAACACGUGAGUAACCUGCCCCCUUCUUCUGGAUAACCGCAUGAAAGCGUGGCUAAUACGGGAUAUUCUGGGUCUGUCGCAUGAUGGGUCUGGGAAAGAUAUUGUUUCGGUGGGGGAUGGGCUCGCGGCCUAUCAGCUUGUUGGUGGGGUGAUGGCCUACCAAGGCGGUGACGGGUAGCCGGCCUGAGAGGGUGGCCGGUCACACUGGGACUGAGACACGGCCGGGACUCCUACGGGAGGCAGCAGUGGAGAAUAUUGCACAGUGGGCGCAAGCCUGAUGCAGCGACGCCGCGUGAGGGAUGGAGGCCUUCGGGUUGUGAACCUCUUUCGCCAGUGAAGCAGGCCUGCCUCGUUUGUGGGUGGGUUGACGGUAGCUGGAUAAGAAGCGCCGGCUAACUACGUG
rnacentral:rRNA from 1 species